CCUACGGGAGGCUGCAGUGGGGAAUCUUGCGCAAUGCGCGAAAGCGUGACGCAGCAACGCCGCGUGAGGGAAGACGGCCUUCGGGUUGUAAACCUCUUUCAGGAGGGACGAAGGUUCAGGCGCGAAUAGCGUCCUGGACUGACGGUACCUCCAGAAGAAGCUCCGGCUAACUACGUGCCAGCAGCCGCGGUAAUACGUAGGGAGCAAGCGUUGUCCGGAAUCAUUGGGCGUAAAGCGCGCGUAGGCGGCCCUGUAAGUCCGCUCUGAAAGUCCAA
rnacentral:rRNA from 1 species